UACAGAGGGGGCAAGCGUUGUUCGGAAUUACUGGGCGUAAAGGGCGCGUAGGCGGCCUUCUAAGUCGAACGUGAAAUCCCCGGGCUCAACCCGGGAACUGCGUCCGAUACUGGAAGGCUUGAAUCCGGGAGAGGGAUGCGGAAUUCCAGGUGUAGCGGUGAAAUGCGUAGAUAUCAGGAGGAAUACCGAUGGCGAAGGCAGGUCUCUGGGCUGACACUGACGCUCAUGCACGAAAGCGUGGGGAGCAAACAGG
rnacentral:rRNA from 1 species